rnacentral:rRNA from 1 species
UACGUAGGGGGCAAGCGUUGUCCGGAUUUAUUGGGCGUAAAGAGCGUGUAGGCGGCCAUACAGGUCAGCUGUGAAAACUCGAGGCUCAACCUCGAGACGUCGGUUGAAACCGUAUGGCUAGAGUCCGGAAGAGGAGAGUGGAAUUCCCGGUGUAGCGGUGAAAUGCGCAGAUAUCGGGAAGAACACCCGUGGCGAAGGCGGCUCUCUGGGACGGCACUGACGCUGAGACGCGAAAGCGUGGGGAGCGAACAGG